rnacentral:lncRNA from 1 species
CUUCUUCUAAGAUCUAUUCUGUGUUGACGCUUUUCAAAAUAGCUAUGUAUUCUUUUUUGUGUUAUUUGUUCCUCUCAGGUUGGUUUUAAAAUGUAUCCUCUACUGUUAAGGUUUCAGUUGUUAGCACUGAAAUAUUUCACUGUGUGUUGAGGUAUUGUGGCCCCACCUUAAUUACAGGCCACACCUUUUGCUUACUCCAAACCCUGUGAGAAACUGUUUCUUUUUCUGGGCUGGGACAAUGCAUAGGAUCUGUAUUCUUUCAUAUCCUUCAUACCUUUUGCGAGUGCUAGGCUGAUACGGUGUCAGGUGCUGUUAGUGCGUAAGUAUUCGCUGGAAAACUUGUGACUGCAGCCCGAGGUAAGGCUGUCAGUCAUGGAAGCAUCCUGAUGUGGGCCUGCAAGGAGGGUCCUGUGGCCCUGGAUGAAGGCAAGCACGCAGAGCAGCCUCCUGCAAAGUGUCAGCCACCUCACAGCAACCUGAGGAGCGAAGAGGACACAGCCUGCUCCCCUGGAAGAGGCACACAAGUGCCGGUAGCCUCACGGAAGGCUGCAGGUGUGUGGGAUUCGCCAGGUUCCAUCCCAGCUGUACGUGUGGCCUUGAGACUGCUGGGCGCUUGUCUCUAGUGAAAGAGCUGAACAAAGAGUAGCGUUAAUUUACACUUCCAGUUGCAAUGCGGAUGCAGAGCGAAAUGAGCCCAGUGGAAUUGGCAAUGUCAUUUCAAGCACUGGCUGACAUCUGUAAGCAGCUGUGCCUGCCCUCAGACCGCGAAGGGAGGGAGAUUCACAACAUAUUUCUUUAAGAAGAUCAUUGAGGAAUACAUCCCCCAGGAUGCACUGCAUGCCAAGUGUUUUAAUAUGGCUCUCACAUAGGCCUCACGUUGGACAUUUCCCUUUCUUAAUUAGACUAACCAUCUCCGGCCUGAGGCACAUUGAGGAAUGACCCAACUGCGUUGGGAAAAUUGUACACAGAAAGCACACAGCUUUGUUGUUGUUGUUGUUUUAAG